ACUCCCCCUUAGGUUGACGUGGAACCUCGGGGCGAGGUUCCUUGUUAGUGGUGUCGAUUGUAGCGGCCCAGGAAAAUCCCUUAUUAGAUUUUUCGUGUGCCUUUUCUUUUUGUGCAUAAUCAUGAAAUCAUGCAUCAUAUCAUCCAUGUUUUUAACAAAAUAAAAUUAUUUUCAAAUAAAAAUAUUUUAUUUUAUCCUCUCGUAUGGUUUCUAUAUAAAACCUCCUCUUGUCUUUUCAUUUAACAAAACGCCAAACUCGAUAUUUAAAAUGUUGCAAUUUGUUUUUUGCUCGGUAAUGAAGUUUCAAAAAUGUGCUUGGAUCUUUCCUACUUCGUUUCUUUCCCUCAUCCUGGUCUCUAUAAAUUCUUUUCUGCUAUUUUUGGCUUCCUUUAAAUUCUUUUGUAAUUCCUGAAAGUUUGAAUUCAGUGAGCUCUCCAACCUGGCCUACUCUUUCCCUAUGUCUGGCUCUAGCUUUUCCUUCCUAGAGCCAAAAACGCCCUGGUGGCUCCUGUUACUUCUUCGCUGGCAGGAGACGAGAAAGUCCCUGUUUAUCAUCUUUCUCAGGUGGUCACGCAGCAUGCACCAGCUCUGCUUUUCCCAUUCUCUUAAUCCCAAUCCUGAGAACCCCAGAAAACCCUAGCUGUUUUCCCUUUCCCCUCAGGCCGCCGCCAGCUCUCCCUCCCUUUCUCUUUUCUCUCCAAGAGGACCUAGCACCACCACCAAGCUCGCCGUCGCCCCACCGUUCUGUACAACCCGGCGUCCAACCAACGCCACCAGGAGCUGCGUCACGUUGCCAGGAUCGUCCUCGCGCAAGGAAUCGUCCGGGGGCGCCUCGUACCGACAGCAAAUCGCCGAUUCUUCUUCGACUCCGGCGAGGAAAUCAACGUUUUCCGGCGCCACCGCUUCGUCCCCGUCUCCAUCGAGCGCUCCGCUGUUUUCCUGCUCUCCUUGUGUCCGAGGUCGCCACCAUGUCCAUCAUCUCCGUCCACGGUGACCCUCCAACCCGUGCGUGUUCCUAGCGUCUGCGUCUGCGUCUCCGACUCGUAUGACUACAGCAGCAACCUCCUGCAUUUGCUUCUUCCCGGAUAGGAUCGCGAAGUGGUGCGGUGAGAUACGAC